AUUGAACGCUGGCGGAAUGCUUUACACAUGCAAGUCGAGCGGCAGCGCGGGGCAACCUGGCGGCGAGCGGCGAACGGGUGAGUAAUGCAUCGGAACAUGUCCAUGUCGUGGGGGAUAGCCCGGCGAAAGCCGGAGUAAUACCGCAUACGUCCGAGAGAGGAACGCCGGGGACCGCAAGGCCUGGCGCGGUUGGGUUGGCAGAUGUCCGAUUAGAUAGUUGGUGAGGUAAAGGCUUCCCAAGGCGAUGAUCGGGGGCUGGUCUGAGAGGGUGCUCAGCCACACUGGGACUGAGACACGGCCCAGACUCCUACGGGAGGCAGCAGUGGGGAAUUUUGGACAAUGGGGGCAACCCUGAUCCAGCCAUUCCGCGUGAGUGAAGAAGGCCUUCGGGUUGUAAAGCUCUUUUGUCCGGAGCGAAACGGGCGCGGCUAAUACCUGCGUCUACUGACGGUACCGGAAGAAUAAGCACCGGCUAACUACGUGCCAGCAGCCGCAGUAAGAC
rnacentral:rRNA from 1 species